rnacentral:rRNA from 1 species
GAUGAACGCUGGCGGCGUGCCUAAUACAUGCAAGUCGAGCGAACGGACGAGAAGCUUGCUUCUCUGAUGUUAGCGGCGGACGGGUGAGUAACACGUGGAUAACCUACCUAUAAGACUGGGAUAACUUCGGGAAACCGGAGCUAAUACCGGAUAAUAUUUUGAACCGCAUGGUUCAAAAGUGAAAGACGGUCUUGCUGUCACUUAUAGAUGGAUCCGCGCUGCAUUAGCUAGUUGGUAAGGUAACGGCUUACCAAGGCAACGAUGCACAGCCGACCUGAGAGGGUGAUCGGCCACACUGGAACUGAGACACGGUCCAGACUCCUACGGGAGGCAGCAGUAGGGAAUCUUCCGCAAUGGGCGAAAGCCUGACGGAGCAACGCCGCGUGAGUGAUGAAGGUCUUCGGAUCGUAAAACUCUGUUAUUAGGGAAGAACAUAUGUGUAAGUAACUGUGCACAUCUUGACGGUACCUAAUCAGAAAGCCACGGCUAACUACGUGCCAGCAGCCGCGGUAAUACGUAGGUGGCAAGCGUUAUCCGGAAUUAUUGGGCGUAAAGCGCGCGUAGGCGGUUUUUUAAGUCUGAUGUGAAAGCCCACGGCUCAACCGUGGAGGGUCAUUGGAAACUGGAAAACUUGAGUGCAGAAGAGGAAAGUGGAAUUCCAUGUGUAGCGGUGAAAUGCGCAGAGAUAUGGAGGAACACCAGUGGCGAAGGCGACUUUCUGGUCUGUAACUGACGCUGAUGUGCGAAAGCGUGGGGAUCAAACAGGAUUAGAUACCCUGGUAGUCCACGCCGUAAACGAUGAGUGCUAAGUGUUAGGGGGUUUCCGCCCCUUAGUGCUGCAGCUAACGCAUUAAGCACUCCGCCUGGGGAGUACGACCGCAAGGUUGAAACUCAAAGGAAUUGACGGGGGCCCGCACAAGCGGUGGAGCAUGUGGUUUAAUUCGAAGCAACGCGAAGAACCUUACCAAAUCUUGACAUCCUUUGACAACUCUAGAGAUAGAGCUUUCCCCUUCGGGGGACAAAGUGACAGGUGGUGCAUGGUUGUCGUCAGCUCGUGUCGUGAGAUGUUGGGUUAAGUCCCGCAACGAGCGCAACCCUUAAGCUUAGUUGCCAUCAUUAAGUUGGGCACUCUAAGUUGACUGCCGGUGACAAACCGGAGGAAGGUGGGGAUGACGUCAAAUCAUCAUGCCCCUUAUGAUUUGGGCUACACACGUGCUACAAUGGACAAUACAAAGGGCAGCGAAACCGCGAGGUCAAGCAAAUCCCAUAAAGUUGUUCUCAGUUCGGAUUGUAGUCUGCAACUCGACUACAUGAAGCUGGAAUCGCUAGUAAUCGUAGAUCAGCAUGCUACGGUGAAUACGUUCUCGGGUCU